GCCUGUGUUGCUCAAUGGUUAGAGCGCCAGUCCACCCACUGAAGGGUCUCGGGUUCGAUUCCUGGUCAAGGGCA
rfam:Myotis brandtii contig264907, whole genome shotgun sequence.